GGCGCGGCGACACUGGAGGCGGCGAGAGAGCAACGCCUGGGCCUUCCAGUCCCGGACCCCUGUUCUCUGGGAGUCAAGGAUGAAGCCCACAGGAGCCCGGUCCCCCAUCAGCUGUGCCCGAGCUGGUCAACCCCGGCCCUACUCAACAAUCAGCCCACAGCAAAGCUGUGCUUUCUACCUCCUCUGUCUUCAGGAAAACCCACAUUGUGAUAUUGGAGGCUCUUUCCAGCUCCCUCCAGGGCUGUGGCUGCAGCAGUCUCCCUCCUGUUGUUUCCUAAUUCCCUGGACCUUCCUACCUGCAGUGUGGUACCCCUCAAUGGCACCCAGUUUCCUGUCUUAUCCUCCAUGGCUUGGCCUUGCAGGUCUGGUGAUCCUGGUGUCCCAAGAGACCCUGUUGGGGGAGGGGGGGGAGGCGGAGGCUCGAGGGUCAGCCAAGCAGCAGUGAGCCCCCUCCUGAGGGGAGUGUGAGGCCAUCAAGUGUUUUAGGCAGUCAGGAGACAUGUCAGGGAAUGAUCUGGGAUCAGCUUCAUGGGUGCACUGUGGAAGCAGGGAGGCCAUUGGCUAAAUUGGGGGUGAGAAGGGCAAGGAGGAAAAAAAAUAAUAACUAGCAAUUACAAUUUGUUGAGGCAAAAUAAAUGGUCCAGAGCAUA